rnacentral:tRNA from 1 species
ACGAAAAGAUUGGUUGAUUGGUAAGAAUCCACAACAAGUUGUUCUUCUGGUAUCUGAAUGAAAAAGAUUUAGAGAGAAGCUUUUAAAAAAAGAGCGAGAAUCAAACACUACGCACAGCGAAGCUGUUUGUCUUGCGAAACUUUUAAAGCGGUGCUUUAAAACUUUCUCAGGGUCUGUAGCUCAGUUGGUUAGAGCACACGCUUGAUAAGCGUGGGGUCACAAGUUCAAGUCUUGUCAGACCCACCAUUCUGACGAAUAGAUUAAUGAGUACAGAGUUAAAGAUACGUAAAUGAUAUAAGCUGGGGACUUAGCUUAGUUGGUAGAGCGCCUGCUUUGCACGCAGGAGGUCAGGAGUUCGACUCUCCUAGUCUCCACCACGUACUUAAGAGAGUACGGGCUAGAGUAAAUUAUAGAGCUUAAUAAAUAUAAUGAUUUAUUAAGCUCUGUGAUUAAUCACAGUUUAAUGUAGCUGACGAGGUUACAUUAAUUCAUUAACAGAUUGAGAAUUGAGUCUGAAAUAAAUUGUUCACUCAAUAACAAAGAGAGAAGAAGUCAUUCUGAUCUUAGAGUUAAUUGAGAACUAGCAAAUUAACUGAAUCAAGCGUUUUGGUAUAUGAAUUUAGAUUGAAGCUGUACGGUGCUUAAGUGCACAGUACUUCAAACUGUAAUGUUGGUAAUACUACUUGUAGGUAUUAACGACUGUUUGGGGUUGUAU